rnacentral:rRNA from 1 species
GUGAGGAAUAUUGGUCAAUGGACGGAAGUCUGAACCAGCCAUGCCGCGUGAAGGAUGAAGGCGUUCUGCGUUGUAAACUUCUUUUAUCAGAGAAGAAACCACUGAUUUCUAUUAGUGUUGACGGUAUCUGAUGAAUAAGCACCGGCUAACUCCGUGCCAGCAGCCGCGGUAAUACGGAGGGUGCAAGCGUUAUCCGGAUUUACUGGGUUUAAAGGGUGUGUAGGCGGGCUAUUAAGUCAGGGGUGAAAUCCCGGGGCUCAACCUCGGAACUGCCUUUGAUACUAUUAGUCUUGAAUUAUGUUGAGGUUGGCGGAAUAUAACAUGUAGCGGUGAAAUGCAUAGAUAUGUUAUAGAACACCGAUUGCGAAGGCAGCUGGCUAAACAUAUAUUGACGCUGAGGCACGAAAGCGUGGGUAGCGAACAGGAUUAGAUACCCCGGUAGUCC